rnacentral:misc_RNA from 1 species
GAUGAAGAACGCAGCGAAAUGCGAUAAGUAAUGUGAAUUGCAGAAUUCAGUGAAUCAUCGAAUCUUUGAACGCACAUUGCGCCCUCUGGUAUUCCGGGGGGCAUGCCUGUUCGAGCGUCAUUAUAACCACUCAAGCUCUCGCUUGGUAUUGGAGUUCGCGAUCUCGCGGCUCCUAAAAUCAGUGGCGGUGCCUGUCGGCUCUACGCGUAGUAAUACUCCUCGCGAUUGAGUCCGGUAGGUUUACUUGCCAGCAACCCCAAAUUUUUACAGGUUGACCUCGGAUCAGGUAGGGAUACCCGCUGAACUUAAGCAUAUCAAUAAGCGGAGGA